CCUACGGGUGGCAGCAGUCGAGAAUCUUUCACAAUGGGGGAAACCCUGAUGGUGCGACGCCGCGUGGGGGAAUGAAGGUCUUCGGAUUGUAAACCCCUGUCAUGGGGGAGCAAAUUACAAAGAUAGUACCACAAGAGGAAGAGACGGCUAACUCUGUGCCAGCAGCCGCGGUAAUACGGAGGGCUCAAGCGGUGUUCGGAAUCAUUGGGCGUAAAGCGUGCGUAGGCGGAUUCGUAAGUCGGGUGUAAAAGGCUCGGGCUCAACCCGCGGCCGGCACAUGAUCCUGCGAGACUAGAUUGAUGGGAGGGGAACCGGAAGUCUCGGUGUGGCAGUGAAAUGCGUAGAUA
rnacentral:rRNA from 1 species